rnacentral:rRNA from 1 species
GAUGAACGCUGGCGGCGUGCCUAAUACAUGCAAGUCGAGCGAACAGACGAGGAGCUUGCUCCUCUGACGUUAGCGGCGGACGGGUGAGUAACACGUGGAUAACCUACCUAUAAGACUGGGAUAACUUCGGGAAACCGGAGCUAAUACCGGAUAAUAUAUUGAACCGCAUGGUUCAAUAGUGAAAGACGGUUUUGCUGUCACUUAUAGAUGGAUCCGCGCCGCAUUAGCUAGUUGGUAAGGUAACGGCUUACCAAGGCAACGAUGCGUAGCCGACCUGAGAGGUGGAUCGGCAACCUGGAACUUGAGAACCGUCCAGACUCCUACGGGAGGCAGCAGUAGGGAAUCUUCCGCAAUGGGCGAAAGCCUGACGGAGCAACGCCGCGUGAGUGAUGAAGGUCUUCGGAUCGUAAAACUCUGUUAUUAGGGAAGAACAAAUGUGUAAGUAACUAUGCACGUCUUGACGGUACCUAAUCAGAAAGCCACGGCUAACUACGUG